ACCCGGGUAUGCCUAGUACGGCGAGUGAAGCGGCAACAGCUCAAAUUUGAAAUCUGGCCUCGGCCCGAGUUGUAAUUUGUAGAGGAUGCUUUAGGCGCGGCUCCUUCUGAGUGCCCUGGAACGGGACGCCACAGAGGGUGAGAGCCCCGUAUAGUUGGAAGCCUAGCCUGUGUAAAGCUCCUUCGACGAGUCGAGUAGUUUGGGAAUGCUGCUCAAAAUGGGAGGUAAAUUUCUUCUAAAGCUAAAUACCGGCCAGAGACCGAUAGCGCACAAGUAGAGUGAUCGAAAGAUGAAAAGCACUUUGAAAAGAGGGUUAAAUAGCACGUGAAAUUGUUGAAAGGGAAGCGCUUGUGACCAGACUUGCGCCGGGCUGAUCAUCCGGAGUUCUCUCCGGUGCACUCUGCCCGGCUCAGGCCAGCAUCGGUUCUCGCGGGGGGAUAAAGGCCUCGGGAACGUAGCUCCUCCGGGAGUGUUAUAGCCCGGGGCGUAAUGCCCUCGCGGGGACCGAGGUUCGCGCAUCUGCAAGGAUGCUGGCGUAAUGGUCAUCAGCGACCCGUCUUGAAAAC
rnacentral:rRNA from 1 species